UACGUAGGGUGCAAGCGUUGUCCGGAAUUAUUGGGCGUAAAGAGCUCGUAGGCGGUCUGUCGCGUCUGCUGUGAAAACUCGGGGCUUAACCCCGGGCCUGCAGUGGGUACGGGCAGACUAGAGUGCGGUAGGGGAGACUGGAAUUCCUGGUGUAGCGGUGAAAUGCGCAGAUAUCAGGAGGAACACCGGUGGCGAAGGCGGGUCUCUGGGCCGUUACUGACGCUGAGGUGCGAAAGCGUGGGGAGCAAACAGG
rnacentral:rRNA from 1 species